rnacentral:rRNA from 1 species
GUGAGUCGUUGUAGCAAUACAAGGUUAUACGGCUCAGUAACACGUAGUCAAUCUAACCUAUGGACGGGGAUAACCUCGGGAAACUGAGGAUAAACCCCGAUAGAUCAUAAUGCCUGGAACGGUUUAUGGUUCAAAUGAUUCGUCGCCGUAGGGUGGGACUGCGGCCUAUCAGCUUGUUGGUGAGGUAAUGGCCCACCAAGGCUAUUACAGGUACGGGCUCUGAGAGGAGUAGCCCGGAGAUGGGUACUGAGACACGGACCCAGGCCCUAUGGGGCGCAGCAGGCGAGAAACCUUUGCAAUGUGCGCAAGCACGACAAGGUUAAUCCGAGUGAUUCCUGUUAAAGGAAUCUUUUGUUAGUCGUAAAAUCACUAUUGAAUAAGGGGUGGGCAAGUUCUGGUGUCAGCCGCCGCGGUAAAACCAGCACCUCAAGUGGUCAGGAUGAUUAUUGGGCCUAAAGCAUCCGUAGCCCGUUCUGAAAGUUUCCGGUUAAAUCCAUUAACUCAACUAAUGGGCUGCCGAAAAUACUGCAGAACUAGGGAGUGGGAGAGGUAGACGGUACUCGGUAGGAAGGGGUAAAAUCCUUUGAUCUAUUGAUGACCACCUGUGGCGAAGGCGGUCUACCAGAACACGUUCGACGGUGAGGGAUGAAAGCUGGGGGAGCAAACCGGAUUAGAUACCCGGGUAGUCCCAGCUGUAAACGAUGCAAACUCGGUGAUGCGCUGGCUUGUGGCCAGUGCAGUGCCGC